rnacentral:rRNA from 1 species
CUUGAACUUCGGUUUGGGUGGCGGACGGGUGAGUAACGCGUAAAGAACUUGCCUCACAGUUAGGGACAACAUUUGGAAACGAAUGCUAAUACCUGAUAUUAUGAUUUUAGGGCAUCCUAAGAUUAUGAAAGUUAUAUACGCUGUGAGAGAGCUUUGCGUCCCAUUAGCUAGUUGGAGAGGUAACGGCUCACCAAGGCGAUGAUGGGUAGCCGGCCUGAGAGGGUGAACGGCCACAAGGGGACUGAGACACGGCCCUUACUCCUACGGGAGGCAGCAGUGGGGAAUAUUGGACAAUGGACCAAAAGUCUGAUCCAGCAAUUCUGUGUGCACGAUGACGUUUUUCGGAAUGUAAAGUACUUUCAGUUGGGAAGAAAAAAAUGACGGUACCAACAGAAGAAGUNACGGCUAAAUACGUGCCAGCAGCCGCGGUAAUACGUAUGUCACAAGCGUUAUCCGGAUUUAUUGGGCGUAAAGCGCGUCUAGGUGGUUAUGUAAGUCUGAUGUGAAAAUGCAGGGCUCAACUCUGUAUUGCGUUGGAAACUGCAUGACUAGAGUACUGGAGAGGUAAGCGGAACUACAAGUGUAGAGGUGAAAUUCGUAGAUAUUUGUAGGAAUGCCGAUGGGGAAGCCAGCUUACUGGACAGAUACUGACCUAAAGCGCGAAAGCGUGGGUAGCAAACAGGAUUAGAUACCCUGGUAGUCCACGCCGUAAACGAUGAUUACUAGGUGUUG